rnacentral:lncRNA from 1 species
GGAAUGAUGGAAUAAAGCAUACGAAGUAGAAGGACUGGAACCUCCAGAAAAAGUACUUUAAGUUACCUACAGGUGAUCCUAGUCAGGUAUGAAUUGAUAAGAAAUGCCUGCACCUUCCCUCCUUCCUAUCUUUCCCUUGCCUACAGAAAAUUAAAAGGCAAAACAAUAGACAUCUGCAUAUUCUUCAUUCAGAUCAACCAGUGGCUAGCAUUUGCCACCUUUUGCAGUUUCUUUCUCUUUCCAUAAGUACUUUCUUCUCUGAAUCAUUUGAAAGUAAGUUGCAAAGAGCAUGGUGUUUUACCCCAACACUUCAGCAUUUAUCUCUUGUGAAUAAUGACAUGUUCUAUGUAAUUACAGUUCUACCAUCUAACUAUAAUACAGUAAUUUGAUGUACAGCCCAUAUUCAGAUUUACCUAAUUGUCUCCAAAAUGUUCUUUAUUUUUGUUUUAGAUCCACAGUUUAAUCAAAGAUUAACCUUGCCUUUGGUUGUCACAUCUCUCUAUUCUUUUACUUUGGAGUAGUUCUUUCAAUACAUGAAACAUUUUGAAAAAUCUAGGCUCUUUGUUUUGUGGAGUGACCCAUAAUCUAGAUAUAUCUGGUUGCUUUUUUCUUCUGACUAGAAUAGAUUGAGCAUUUUGGCAAGAAUACAGAUUAAACAGUGUUCUCAUGAAUGGAUCCAGAUUAAACAGGGAAUAAUGCCUAAUUCAGAUUAGGCAGUGUUGCGUACUUACCACCUCACACCAGGAGAUGUUUGCGUCUGUUUGUCCCACGAUUGCUGAUGCUAUGUUUAAUAAUUUUGGUUGAGAUAGUGUCAACUGGACAUCUCCUUGUGAGGGUAGCUUUUCCCUUUUGUUAUUAGUCAUCUGUGGAAUGAGACAUCAAAGCACUGUGAACAUCUUACUCCCCGGCAAACUUCACGAGCUGGUUUCAGCGUCAUUGCUGAAGGCUCUUGGAAACAUUGCUUACACCCGUGGUUCCAAUGGUGAUUUUUCUCAUUCCUUUUACAUUGAUUACCUGCCUCCUUGAGUGAGGUAGAUGUUGUCUGCUCCCCAUGUUUUCCCUUCAAAUGUUUAAUUUUAAUUUAAAUGAUUAAUACAGCUAAGUUAUUCUUUCAACAGGCAAAUGAAAACAGUAGCCUAAAGUGUCAGUUUCAACCAGAAAAUAACAGCUCUGAUUUCUCAUGGCUCAUACUCGUCUGAAACGACUCAGGUAGAGGCUGAGGAAGGCCGUGUUGUUUGUCUACCUGGGACUACACCUACUGAAAGAAGUUCUCAAGUUCUGAUUGAGUUCUAAAAUUUUUUGAAGAUUGGAAUUCUUCAUAUGUAAAAAGAGAAGAGAAAGACAUUCUUGAUUUUGGUGACUAGAGUUGUAGAUGCUGGAAGCUUUGCCACUAACAUUGAUGAACCAGAUGCAUGUCACCAGCCCAUCACGGGCACCAUGGGCCCGGCACUGCCACGUUUUCCAAGGAACCUGCCGGAGCUCCUGCGGAAGCUGCUCCUCAGGCGAUGGAGUCCCUUCGCUGGUAGGCCCUUCUUCAGUCACCACAGGAUGCCUGCCAUUCAUGAACAAGAAGGAGAGGACGGGCUUUGAAUAAAAAACAGGAUCCAGGAAAUAUUUGUGAGGCCAUUUGGACUUCAGUGUGAAAUGGUGUUAAAAGAUGAAGUCAUUUAUUCAAGAAGUAAACCUCUGCCACCUGGACUGUGCGCAGACAUUUCAUUGAUUUUGUUUAAUAAACAUUUUCUGGCUUUGGGAGGUGUCUCUCUUGGUAGAACACAGUGUCAAAGAUGGACAAGAUGGACACAUAGUCCAUUAUUUGGUAUUGUUUGUGUAUGGGAGCAGACCACAAAUUAAUGUUUGGAGAACAAUUUUGUCAUAACACACUGUUGAGGCUCAGUUGUACAGAACUGGAAAAGUCUUCAGCUUGGCACAUGUCCUGAUUCAGCCUUUGUUUAACAUAUAUUCCAAUCCGGAUUCUAUCUUCACUGGCUACAAAGACCACCUGAUACGUGCACCACGACACAGGAGCUGCUGGAGAGGGGGUAGUGUUAUCACCUCAAACCCACAGCCAUAUUUUUCAAAAGCCAGCUUAGAGAGAGGUGUACUGAUAGCUGCAUAGAGAACAUGCAGUCCAUCCAUUCUUCCCAGUGAUGUACAUUUCUCAAUCAGUAACCACGUGGUAUACCAGCCUUGAGUGUCACAUCUCCCAACCAUACCAAAUGGAUCACCUAACUGGAGGUGGGGGGGGCCCUCAGAAAUGAGAUUUCGUAUUUACUGUAAAAUUGCCUUAUUUUUUCUUUUGAGGUGGAGUCUCACUCUGUUGCCUGGGCUGGAGUGCAAUGGUGUGAUCACUGCUCACUGCAACCUCCGCCUCCUGGGUUCAAGCAGUUCUCCUGCCUCAGCCUCCCAAGUAGCUGCAAUUACAGGUGCAUGCCACCACUCCCAGCAAAUUUUUAUAUUUUUAGUGGAGACAGGGUUUCACCAUGUUGACCAGGCUGGUCUCAAACUCCUGACCUCAGGUGAUCUGCCCACCUUGGCCUCCCAAAGUUCUGGGAUUAAAGGUACGAGCCACCGCAACUGGCUGAGAAUCUUUUUAUUUGCUGAUUUGUCUCUUGUGUAUUUUCUUUGUUCAGAUGUCUCUUCAGAUCUUUUUCUCACUUUUAAAUUGUUUUUUAAUUGUUAAGAAUUUUCUGUCUAGUUUAGAUAUAAGCCCUUUAUCAGACAUGUGUUUUGCAAAUAUUUUCUCCUAGUCUGUGGCUUGUAUUCUGUCUCUUAACACUCAUUUUAUUUUUACUUUUGGAACUAAAGAAGAAGAAUGGUCAGCUUUCCAUUAUUCUUGUAACAGUAAUGGCAGAACCAAGUCUGCUAAUGCUACACUGAGCAAAGAAAGUCACCUGGUGAAGUCCAACAUUAAUGAAAUGGGGUAGUACAUGCAGGCAGCGUUGGGGGUGGGGAGGGAACAAAUGCUUCUUGAGAGUAAUAUAAUCUGCCAUACCAUCCAGGAACCUACAAUGGCUAUCUAUUACCUUAUUCUCUGGUUUGUUUAAUGUUCGAAUCUUUCCGAAAGAUCCUUCAACCUUUCUGGAAGAAUCUAAUCUGAUAACACCAUCAAAAACACAUUACUUCUUUUGGCAUAAUUUAAAUUGUAAGACAUCAUUCACAUUUAUCAAUGUUACAUAUAUAAGAACUCACCCACCAUAUUCUUCCUUGAGGAAUUACAGCAUGUAAUUCUAUAAUCAUUUUUAUAAUCGUCUAACAAUUUUAUAAUGGAUUGGUUGCUUACUAUCAAUUUUUUAAAAGUCAUGGCUUCUCCAGUCAUUUCUUGCUUAUCGAAAUUAUUUCAUGAGAUGGGUCUCUCCUUGUAUAUUUGAAAAUGAGGUUUGCUUCCUUCUACUUAAAAAACAACUUGAACAUACCUGUUUGGAUCACAUGGUCUUGUCCUGAUAACUUGGAAGAGGUUGCUUCAGCAUUGUUCUUAUUGUUGUGGUGGUUAUUAUUAAUAUUGUUUCAUAUUCUGUUUAAAAAAUUAAAAUUUUACACAAGACCAAUGUCUUCUUUUCAAUUCCAGUACAUUUUUCAGAAGUAACUAAUGCUAUUGGCUUUGUGCAUUGUAAUUUCAGACCAUUUUAUAUGUCUUUAGUUAUAUGUACAGUAUACACACAUAUGUGUCAUAUUAUUCCAUUUUUUCUAGCAUUAAACAUUGCUAUGGAAAACUCUCGGAAAAAUAUUUAUUUGAACAGAACUUUUUCUUUUCUCAGAUGUACCCUCCUUAGGAAUCUUUCUUUGAUCCUUGAAGUUUGGUAACAACUUUAAAUAUGUGUAUCCCAGCUGGGAGCAGCGGCUCACACCUGUAAUUUCAGCACUUUGGGAGGCCGAGGAGGGUGGAUCACCUGAGGUCAGGAGUUUGCCUGGCCAACAUGGUGAAACCCCGUCUUUACUGAAAAUACAAAAAGUUAGCCAGGUGUGGUGGCUGGCACCUGUAAUCCCAGCUACAUGGGAGGCUGAGGCAGGAGAAUCGCUUGAACCUAUAGAGACAAGGUUUCACCAUGUUGACCAGGCUGGUCUCGAACUCCUGACCUCAGGUGAUCCACCCACCUCAGCCUCCCAAAAUGCUGGGAUUACAGGCAUGAGCCAUUGCACCCAGCCAUACAGGAGCAAGUUUAAAAAUUAAAUAUUUAUUUGAAUAACAAGCUUACAUUGGAGCUGCAAUGUUGGCAAUCCAGAUUUUGAACACGGAUCACAAAAAGCAUGCAUAAAAUCCUACUGGCCCAGAGAACAAAACACUGCUCAGAAUUAAGCGAAAUAGCUGCUACUGUUAAGAAAACAGGCCUGAAAUCAAUAUACAAGAUUUUAAAAAAUGUAUUGGCCGGAUGCAGUGGCUCAUUCCUGUAAUUCCAGAACUUUGGGAGGCCAAGACAGGAGAAUCACCUGAGGUCAGGAGUUCAAGACCAGCCUGGCCAACAUGGUGAAACUCCAUCUCUACUAAAAAUAAAAAAUUAGCUGGGUGUGGUGACACAUGCCUGUAGUCCCAGCUACCUGGGAGGCUGAGGCAGAAUAAUUUCUCGAACCCAGGAGGAGGAGGUUUGCAAUGGCAUGAUCUCUGCUCACCGCAACCUCCGCCUCCCGGGUUCAAGCAAUUCUCCUACUUCAGCCUCCCGAGUAGCUGGGAUUACAGGCAUGUGCCACCAUGCCUGGCUACUUUUCUGUAUUUUUAGUAGAGACAGAGUUUCUCCAUGUUGGUCAGGCUGGUCUUGAACUCACAACCUCCGGUGAUCUGCCUGCCUCGGCCUCCCAUAGUGCUGGGAUUACAGGCAUGAGCCACCAUGCCUGCCCAUGAAAGCACUUUUAAAAAGAGAGCACCUCUGCUGCCUGGUCAUAUUCUGUACCUGUUCCCAAACCCUGAAACCAGUGAUGUCAAUGGCUGCGUGGGCAUUGAACGUGUACAUGAUUCCUGCAGCUUUCCUGUUGACCUGGACCAUGUUCAUCAAUGCUUUUUGGUACAUUAAUUCUACAUCUUCUUCGGUGACCACAGUUUAUGUUUAUUUCAUUUUUCAGGAAUAUCCAGCCACUGGUGCACAGCCAUUGCCACUUGUGCCCCCAGGGGAUCUUGUCAACUCCAGUAUGUCCCCCCAGCACUGUGUUAUCUGGCAUAAUAAAUGUAGUUGGGCUGUAGUUGUAGUGACUCCUCCCAAAACAACCCAGGAGUUUAAUACUGUUUGGCCACCGGUUACAGACAUUGCUGCCCCUUCCGCUGCGGCUUUAAAAGCCUAUCUAAUCGGCUGGGUGUGAUGGUGGCUCAGACCUAUAAUCCCAGCACUUUGGGAGUCCAAGGUGGGUGGAUCACCUGAGGUCAGGAGUUUGAGACCGGCCUGGCCAACAUGGUGAAACCCCAUCUCUACUAAAAAUACAGCAAAUUAGCUGGGCGUGGUGGCGCAUGACUGUAAUCCCAGCUACUCGGGAGGCUGAGGUAGGAGAAUUGCUUGGGUGGCAGAGUAAGACUCCGUCCCAAAAAAAAAAGUUAUCUAAUCAGGGACGUCACCUUUCCCUGCCAGUCAUUUUGUUACCAAUGAAAGAAAACAUAUUCAAAUCAAUUUUUAGUUCAGAAAAUGUUUCUUUCAUUGUAUCUUUGAAUUUUAUUGUUCUGCAUUUUUUACUUCAAAAACACCUACUAUAUGCAUUUUUUCUCUCGUUUCCUUUUUUUUCCAAGAAAUGUUUUUGUCCUUUUGAUUUUUUCACUGACCAUUACCAUUAUUUAUAUACCAUGUACCUGGAGAGUUUCCAAUGUUUCUCUUUGGUCUGAGAUACUUGCUAUGAUUUUCACUUUUUAAAUGCUCUUUUGAGAUUUGUUUUGUGGCCUAAAAUGUGGUCUAUCCUGGAGAAUGUUCUGUGAGCUGAUGAGAAGAAUGCACGUUCUGCAGUUGGUGGGUGAAAUGUUCUGUAAUUACCUGUGAGGUCCCUUUGACUUCUCUUGGAGUCAGUCUGGUCUGUUACUUUUCUGCCUAGAGGGUGUGUCUGUUGCUGAAAGUGGGUGUUGGAGUCCCCAGCUAUUAUUGUCUGUCUCUGUCUGUUGCUCGAAUAACUCUUACUUUAAUAACUGGGGCUCCUGUGUCAGGUGUGUUUACAUUGACAACUGUCCUACCUUCUUGCUGAAUUGAUCUCUUUAUCGUUUUAUAAUGACCUUUAUUUUCUAUUUUUGUGCUUUUUUGACUUAAAGCCUACUUUGUGUGACAAGCAUAGCUAUACAUACUCACUUUUGGUAACACUUUUCAUUUCUUAUCAUCUUCAUUGAAUCUCACUUCUUCACAUUUACCAAAAUGUCUACUUUUGAGCUGUGGCACCUCUUUGAAUCUUCAGAUCCACCACAUGCUGAUCAAGCCUUCCUUUUUGUCUGUACUCUGAGGAAUCCCAAACAGGCAUUUUUGCAAGAAAGUCUAGGAGGGAAACAUAAAUCUAUGUGUCAAAAAAAUGAACAUAGAAAAUAAUGUGUCCUGGUUAACAAAAGUUCUCAUUGUAAAGUGUUAGGCACAAGACUAUGGAAUUUCAUGUGCCAUAAAUAAAAUUGUCUUGAUUUGUCUAAAACUACAUUUUGUCUAAAACUACUUUUAAAAAUUACAUGUUACUCUAAUA